rnacentral:rRNA from 1 species
CGAACGCUGGCGGCAGGCCUAAUACAUGCAAGUCGAACGGCUCUUCGGAGCAGUGGCGGACGGGUGAGUCACGCGUGGGAAUUUGCCCUUUGGUACGCAACAACACAGGGAAACUUGUGCUAGUACCGUAUGUGCCCUUGGAGAGAAAGAUUUAUCGCCAUUGGGGCAGCCCGCGUUGGAUUAGGUAGUUGGUGAGGUAGAGGCUCACCAAGCCUACGAUCCAUAGCUGGUCUGAAAGGAUGAUCAGGCACACUGGUACCGAGACACGGCCCAGACUCAUACGGGAGGCAGCAGUAGGGAAACUUGCGCAAUGGGCGAAAGCCUGACGCAGCCAUGCCGCGUGAAUGAUGAAGGUCUUAGUAUUGUAAAAUUCUUUCACCGGGGAAGAUAAUGACGGUACCCGGAGAAGAAGCCCCGGCUAACUUCGUGCCAGCAGCCGCAGUAA